rnacentral:rRNA from 1 species
GAUGAACGCUGGCGGCGUGCCUAAUACAUGCAAGUCGAGCGAACAGACGAGGAGCUUGCUCCUCUGACGUUAGCGGCGGACGGGUGAGUAACACGUGGAUAACCUACCUAUAAGACUGGGAUAACUUCGGGAAACCGGAGCUAAUACCGGAUAAUAUAUUGAACCGCAUGGUUCAAUAGUGAAAGACGGUUUUGCUGUCACUUAUAGAUGGAUCCGCGCCGCAUUAGCUAGUUGGUAAGGUAACGGCUUACCAAGGCAACGAUGCGUAGCCGACCUGAGAGGGUGAUCGGCCACACUGGAACUGAGACACGGUCCAGACUCCUACGGGAGGCAGCAGUAGGGAAUCUUCCGCAAUGGGCGAAAGCCUGACGGAGCAACGCCGCGUGAGUGAUGAAGGUCUUCGGAUCGUAAAACUCUUUUAUUAGGGAAGAACAAAUGUGUAAGUAACUAUGCACAUCUUGACGGUACCUAAUCAGAAAGCCACGGCUAACUACGUG